UCAGCUGACACUUAGUAGCUCUCAGCUGUUUUUUUUGUUGUUGUCGAAUGCACAUAUCUCUUUUGCUCCAAAGCGUCCUCUUGUUACAUAGUUGCUAUUGGGAAACUGUCAUGGUAUGUUCGAGUAUGAAGAAUAAACACAACCAGGUCGAAGUUACAGACGCGUCGUCUUUCGAGGUGACUCUCCAGCAACUCAACGACUUGUUGACGGACGACAGCGGCUUUUACAGCUGGCCAACAAAAAACUUUCACGAGGUUUAUCCACGCAUCUAUGUCGGCAAUGCGUUUUUGGCGAACAAUGUGACACGUCUGAAGCGUUUGAAAAUCACACACAUCUUGAACGCAGCAGAGGGAAACUCCUUCAUGCAUGUGAAUACCAACGCUGAAUUCUACAAAGGCACAGACGUCAUUUACCAUGGUAUGCCAGCCAGCGACACUGAUCACUUUGACAUCAGCAUUUACUUUGAGGAAGCUGCAGAAUUCAUCGCGAACGCUCUGGCAUACAAAAACGGAAAAGGUAGAGUAUACGUGCAUUGCAAGGAAGGCUACAGCCGCUCACCCACCUUAGUCAUCGCCUACCUGAUGCUUCGCCAGAACAUGGAUGUCCACAGUGCUCUGGCCACGGUGCGACACAACAGAGAGAUCGGACCUAAUGACAGCUUCCUUCGACAGCUCUGCCGACUAAAUCAUAGGCUGGCUGCUGAGGGAACGUUCUGGAACAAAUGAAGCAGAGGAAACAAGGUGCCAUUUAAUUGUGCUACGGUGGAAUUUGCUCAUGUUGAUGUUCCUUGGCUGACUGAUGUGGAUACACCUUGGUGGUAUUUCCGUUAUCACUUUGUCCCGUCCUGUUUCCACCUUCCAUGCUGGGCUAGCCGACAAACUUGCUGAAGUUCAACGCCUUUCCAACAUUACUCGGUCGUGUGGAAGAGUCAGAAGAUCAAGCGGUGCACCAUUAAAAUGGAACAAAUGCAUUUAUGUGGCCCUCUCUUCGUGAUCCUGAUUGCAGUGCACUAAAGAAAAGGAAAGCUGUCAGCAUGGAAGUGAAAAUGAACAUCUCAGAAGGAGGAGACACGUCCGCCAAUAUUGGCCACCCAGCUGUUCGACCAUCAUUAAAGGUAAAGAAUAUUGAAUGCUAAUGAAUGCUAGAAGGGUCAUGGAGUCUGAGGCGCUUUUACAAGGGGAUCUGGGUAGGGAAUCUGAGGUUAUUCUUCCAGACUAGCCUGGGACCGUAUUUUAAGAAGGUGGAAAGGCCUGCAAGACAACUACAACGGUAAAAGUAAAAGUAAGGAGUUUUUAUUUUGAUUUCAUUUAAUUGCCGUAUGUUAUGUUUUUAAUGUGUUCUGUGCACAAUGUGAAUGAUUUAUGUUCUAUUUAGGCAUAUAUAUUUUUUAUUUUACUAUUUUACUUAAUAGACAUUAAUUUAAUAUUAAUUCUUACUAUUUAACUGUAAUUUUGUCAACUUUUUUUUCACUACAUACAGAUAAAAAUCCAAAUUUUGAAAAAAAUCUGAUUUGUUUUGAUCCCCGAUUAUACUUCCUAUGGAAAAUAACCCCUCCCUUUGCAAGCCUUUAUGUGCACCCUUUUGGGGGACUUUCGUUAUUCAGAAGGUCUUCGUUCUAUGUACGACUUUCCUUCCUAAGACUAUGAUACAAGUUUUAGUCUUAAGUCGGAAUUUAAACCUACAUAAUAUCUAAAUUAAUAACAAAGUCCAUCACACUGUACGUAGCACACACAAAAGUACAAAUAAUAAUGAAAUGAAACAAUAACGAGACAGACCCGUUGUCCUUGUUGAAAUGUCAGUAAUGAGGCGACUAUGCUGAUUACUUAUCACCGUCCAUUUCAAAGGAGCAGAUCCUUUAACAUGUUCAAGGAUACCAUCUUUGUCCUUAAUGAAUUUUCACUUUCCUUUUUUUAUGCACUGCAUCCAAAAAGUAUGACUUCAUUCAAUUACGGCAGGGCAUGGUAAAACGAGGACCGCCUGUAUUAGGUCACCUAAAUCGUGGCUUCAAAUAUCUGCUUCGGAAGAACAAAGUUUAAGAAAGAAAUGAAAGUUAUUAAGAAAAAAUAUCCAUUAUCCAUACAUUAAAAGGGACACUUGAUUAUUUGUCAAAUGUUGGUUCUCCAGCAUGAAAUUAGGCUGGUUCCUUUAAUGAAAUUCAACUGAACACUGAAUUAGAUGACUGCAUUUCCUCCGAUGAUGCAUCUAAUAAAGCAUAAACACAAAUAGACCCACCAUCUCUUCCAAGAAAACCAUAUGCACACUGAAGACAAAGAAAAGAAAAAUAUGUUACAAUACAUUGCUCAAGGUGUUUUUUGUUUUUUUAUACAUAUUAAAAAUAUCUCAGUGGCAGUGUGCCACUCAAUCCUGGCUUUAGCUUACUUAUGCAAACUCACCCUGCCAAGCAUAUUUAGUAGAACCACACGAGCAACAUCCAUUUCAGCAACAACAUGAGUGUGGUACAAUUACAAUUAUAUUACAUUCCACAAGUGGACAUACUCCUGUAGAGGAUUGUCAUCUUUCUCCACCAAACAGUGCUUGUAUGAGUUGGGGCAGAUGUCUUUGAGGGUGUUGGAGUGGCGGCAGGGGACGACAUAAAUAGAAAAGACAGGGGAGAGGUUUGACGUUGCAAGAGAUCAGAACAGAUGUGGAGAGGACAGAGAGGACGCCGAUUAACAGAUGUUUUCCCUGGGUAAGUAUCAUUCGUUUUUAAGCAGGCGCAUGAAUGUAAAGUGUUCUUUUUUUUUUUUAUAGCCUAGCGACAAGUUCACAGUUUCAUUUAUUGUAAACAUGAGGUAAAACGUGACGAGUAUUUAAAGUGUCAGACAGACAGACAGAAGGGAAAGUUCAGCACUAACAGGGGACGGAAAAACAUUUCAUUUGCAUUAAGUUAAGUGAUGCAGAGGAUGGAAUUUCCCUAAGAACAGGCUAAAUUAUCUUGGUACUACAACUAAGACCAUGCUCAAACACAUGCAACAGGUUCAUUCUGUUUAUACCAGAAGGGGUCAGCGUCCAAAUGAACAAGUUCCUGAAAUGUAGACCAUGUGAUGAUUUUUUUUGUACAGCCUUUUUAGCGUAGGUUCUGAAUGUCCCAAACCUUCUAUCAGGCUAAUGCUGCCUUCCAGAGUACUUGGAAGCUGGAAAAACCUUCACCAAGUCAUACUUUUUGGUUGUAUGAGUUUUCAACCAUUAAACAAAACCGAAGUACCAGAGUACUACGUGUUUAUUUGAAGAAUUCAUAUAUGAGAUAUUUCCAAGUUCCAAGUUAUCUAGAAAGCAACAUAAUCACCCCCAACAUAGUAUAUGGUUGUAGCCAGUAUUUGAACAUGGCGUUGCAGUAGCUGGCACAGUAAAUGGAUUCUUACUGUUAGUCUGUCUCUGUCUCUGCUAUGCUGGUGCACGUGAUCAUGGCUGAAGGCAGUGCGUUUUUUCUGGUGCUGGUGAUCGUUUUCGGGAAAGAUAACCACUGAGAAUGGCUGCCAGCUCAAAUUGUGAUGUCAAACCUCAUUUGUGUGUAGUCCUUAAACUGGAACACAAUAUGUGCUCUCCGCGCUCAGGGACGAGAGAUCCUGAGUUUAGAAAAACGGGGCAAUGUGAAGGUCAUUUUGGUGAUUUGGUGUUUUUGGACUCCCAUCGCCGUGAGUGUGAGCUUACUAAUACAGGUGUGCUACAUGACUGCUUGAACUUGAUGUUAUUUUGAGUAGGUCAGCCGCUGACAGCAUAAAUAAAGUGUGUAUUUGGUGUGUGUGUGUGUGUGUGUUUGCCCUGCUUUCAUUCACAGUGAAGGUGAGAUCACAGAAGGCCUGAAUGCCAACUGUGAACCUGCACUGCUUGAUCAUCCUAUUGCUGUGCAUGUGUGUGUGUGUGUGUGUGUGUGUGCGCCUGUUUAAUCAGUACUUACAGUUCUAUUUAAAUACCCUGCAAUGUCGACAAGUAACAAAGAGCAGUGGCACUUAAAGGCUGUAUCACUGUCAGGGGCUGCUUUUCCAAAGACAGAAUUUACAUUUACAUUUCAGAAUGACUCUGUUAGAUUUUUUUCUUGCCAUGAAAAAAACGUGGAAGAAGUCCCGACUGUGAUGAAUUUUCAUCUUGGCAAAGUAUGAGCAAUUGGUGGCACAGAUUUAGAGGAUGCCACGACUUGCUACCAUGGCAACAAAGCUCUCUCAGCUCUCGAGACAGCGUCUUUGUGAAACCAGCCCCCUGUUAAGUUUCCUCACUUCGAUGCAUGCGUGUGUGUGUGUGUGUGUGCAGUAGCGUGAAGGUAUAUUUCACAAUAUGGUCAUGAUUAGUGUUGCAAAGAGGUGGAAACAUCCUGUAGGAUAAGGAUGUUUCACCAAUAUUCAUUAGGAUACUUUACACUGGAAUUGAUGAUAAUUAAUGGGAAUUAAAUGGAUUUGUUUUAUACGUUACAACUCAGUUAUAGUCUCAGGAAGGGUGUAGUUAUUUUUUCACAUUUUUUAAAUAGAAUUUUUGAUAUUUUACAUCAAAUUUGCUGUUAAAAAAUAGUAACCUGAAACGGUGUACAAGGCGUAUGAUUAAAUUAACUUUCUUCCUCCUCCUUUUCAGACAUGUUGAAUUCUGCAAAUGUAAACAUGAUGUACAGUGGAUACCCGCAAAUUUGUGAUUCAGCAUUCACGGCCCUGCUAAAUUUUUCUAAAAAAAAAAAAGCAGUUUUCUCAGGUAAUAUGCCAAUUUUUCUGCAUUCAACCUAAAUCAUUAAUGAUUUAGAGAUACCGGAUAUUGCAAAUAAAAUGCACAGCUUAAUUAUACUCUUUAUGUCUUCACUGUAUUCACUUGAUAUGAGAUUUCACACUUUGUUUGGGAGUCAUUGGACGCAUCAUAGUUGCAGUGAGUUGCAGAAGUAAAACCUCUAAAGGAAAGAGGGGCAAGCUGUGCGUCAAAAAUAAACAUUUUUGUGGGCGUCUCAAUUAGUCAUGGAUUUCGCCAUUGGCUAAUAGUUCCGCACAGGGCUCUACUGUACAUCAAUGUAACUAUGAGAAACUAAACCAUUCGUCCUAAGAUCCAAUUAAAUCAAUCUGGAUUCAGCAAGUUGCCAUUCUGGAUGACAUAUGCAUCGAUACUAGGAAAUAAAGCAUUGGAAUUAAGCACAAUUUUUUUAGCAGUUUUAAUGAUAAAAAUGUUAAAUAUUACUCAUGUAACUGUUUGAUUUGGCGUAAGUUGAUUAGUUUUGCCUGUUGAGUGGGGCACACCUGAAGUGUUGGUUGCAUUUGAUUUAAAUAAAAUGUGAAUGCACUUGUUUAUAACUGAUUCCCUUAGAAAAAAAAACCUAUGGGAAUCUAGGAAUCCCCGGUAUCCAGGUAUUUAUUUCAGAGACCGGUUGAAUUUUUGGCUAAAAAUGUAUUAAAUCAUUUUGGCCCGUAUUGUUUUAAAUGAACCUAUAUAGUUGUUGAACCUAUCACCAACCACAAAUGAAAUCGUUAUUAAAACAAAUCAUUACACCCUUAUUUAUUUACAUCCUAUGAAAUGACUAUUCCCAUUAAUUCUCACACAGUUCCCAGUACUGGACUGGAUUUGGAUUUGUGCAACCCUAAUCAAGACAGCUUGAAGCAAAGAAGAAUAAGAAAGAAGUGAGUGUACAGAAGAAAAGAAAGUGUUUGGGGUUAUUACAUCCAUUGUAGUUUUAGUGCAACAUAAAAAACCUGAUAGUUAUUUGUUGAUGAUGAUGGGUGGAGCUUAUUUCAGAGGUGUUGAAUUGAAAAUGUACAUUUUAGGGACAUGACAGUCGUAUUUUUUUCCCCAACGGCGCAUGGCUUUACGUCCGUUUCUGCUGCCGACAGCAGGGGAGAAAGGGAAGAAAACAGGGUCCAGUUCAGAGUCACAUGACGCCAAGUGCUGUUUCCUUCCUCUUGGCUCGGAUGAAUCCAGAGGCAAAGACUGCUGACUCGCCGUUUAUUGAAUCCCCACCGCCAUAGUUUGGCUCCUGUUGGCUCCAUCCAAUCAGGCCACAAUGGCUCCUAUACUGGAGUCCCAUUUUUUGCUGUCGUAAUGAGGUUCAAUCGGCACCAUGUAAGGUCAAAAGGGGCCCAAUUCAGACCUGCCAUCAAUGUGUCUGGUGUAACCACCGAUUCAAAUGAUGUUCAUUUGCCUAAACAAAACAAACGCCGUGGGUUCACUCUAAUGAAGCAUUUGCAAACCUCGAGUCGAGGGUGUCUGGACCCGGGAGCCUUUUGUCUAUGGCAAAGAUUGAUGACAUCAAGUCUGCAUCAGAACUUUAUGAAGGAUGGUUAAGGCCACGCUGACAUGAAAAGCAAAUAUUUGCUAUGUCGCAAGCAACUAAUUUUUUUUAAUUCAUAUAAUUUUGUCAAUUUUGUAAAAGAAAAGAAAUCCAAUCCCCCCUCAAAAACCCUUCUCCUGAAAAAAAAAAAAUUACCCAAUUUAGAUUGGAUUGCAUAUUUAGCAAACACAAAUAUGGAUUUUUAUAGUCAAACAUAGCUUCAAUAAAAUUGCAAAAUAAGCAACUAAAUAUUUUUUAAUUCAUAUAAUUUUGUCAAUAUAGUAAAAGAAAAGACAUCCACCCCCCCCCAAAAAAAACCUUCUCCUAAAAAAUAAAAAUAAUCCAAUUUAGAAUGGCUUGCUUAUUUAGCAAACACAAAUAUGGAUUUUUAUAGUCAAACAUAGCUUCAAUGAAAUAGCAAAAUAAGCAACUAUUUUAAGAAAAUUAAGAAAAGAAAUUCAAUUU